UUACGGCCAAAUCACGUUGAAACACCAGUUCCCGAAGUUAAGCAACAUUGAGCUUGGUCAGUACCUAGAUGAGUGACCACUUGGGAAUGCCAGGUGCCGUAA